rnacentral:lncRNA from 1 species
UGUUCAAACAUGCAAUUAAUUCCCCAUUUGUGUUUAUAAUACAGCCUUUGGUCAAGCUGGCUCAGAUGUUGAUGUUUUGCCAGGAUAACUUCAAAUUAAGAAAUAAAUAAAUAAAUAGGUAAGGAUUAUACCCCAACACCAUUAAAAUGCUAACAAAUACAUAGAAUAAGACUGCCUUUUAGCGCACGAUUUGAGAUGAUUGUUUAAUUGAAAGGGAAAAAUAUAAAGAAACAAAAAUUUGUACAAACCUGCAAUUAAUUCCCCAUUUGUGUUUAUAUAUGAUGCAGCCUUUGGUCAAGCUGGCUCAG